rnacentral:rRNA from 1 species
AUUGAACGCUGGCGGCAGGCUUAACACAUGCAAGUCGAGCGGGGGAAGGUAGCUUGCUACCGGACCUAGCGGCGGACGGGUGAGUAAUGCUUAGGAAUCUGCCUAUUAGUGGGGGACAACAUCUCGAAAGGGAUGCUAAUACCGCAUACGUCCUACGGGAGAAAGCAGGGGAUCUUCGGACCUUGCGCUAAUAGAUGAGCCUAAGUCGGAUUAGCUAGUUGGUGGGGUAAAGGCCUACCAAGGCGACGAUCUGUAGCGGGUCUGAGAGGAUGAUCCGCCACACUGGGACUGAGACACGGCCCAGACUCCUACGGGAGGCAGCAGAGGGGAAUAUUGGACAAUGGGGGGAACCCUGAUCUAGCCAUGCCGCGUGUGUGAAGAAGGCCUUAUGGUUGUAAAGCACUUUAAGCGAGGAGGAGGCUACUCUAGUUUAUACCUAGGGAUAGUGGACGUUACUCGCAGAAUAAGCACCGGCUAACUCUGUGCCAGCCGCCGCGGUAA